UUAAUUGAAACCAAAAAUAGAGGUAUAUCACUGUUAAUGAUAUUAAUGAAUUAAUUUCCGAUUAAA
rnacentral:tRNA from 1 species